rnacentral:rRNA from 1 species
UACGUAGGGGGCUAGCGUUGUCCGGAAUCAUUGGGCGUAAAGAGCGUGUAGGCGGCCCGGUAAGUCCGCUGUGAAAGUCGGGGGCUCAACCCUCGAAUGCCGGUGGAUACUGUCGGGCUAGAGUGCGGAAGAGGCGAGUGGAAUUCCUGGUGUAGCGGUGAAAUGCGCAGAUAUCAGGAGGAACACCGGUGGCGAAGGCGGGUCUCUGGGCAGUAACUGACGCUGGAGGAGCGAAAGCGUGGGGAGCGAACAGG